rnacentral:rRNA from 1 species
UUGUCCGGAAUUAUUGGGCGUAAAGCGCGCGCAGGCGGAUCAGUCAGUCUGUCUUAAAAGUUCGGGGCUUAACCCCCGUGAUGGGAUGGAAACUGCUGAUCUAGAGUAUCGGAGAGGAAAGUGGAAUUCCUUAGUGUAGCGGUGAAAUGCGUAGAUAUUAGGAAGAACACCAGUGGCGAAGGCGACUUUCUGGACGAAAACUGACGCUGAGGCGCGAAAGCCAGGGGAGCGAACGGGAUUAGAUACCCCGGUAGUCCUGGCCGUAAACGAUGGGUACUAGGUGUAGGAGGUAUCGACCCCUUCUGUGCCGGAGUUAACGCAAUAAGUACCCCGCCUGGGGAGUACGACCGCAAGGUUGAAACUCAAAGGAAUUGACGGGGGCCCGCACAAGCGGUGGAGUAUGUGGUUUAAUUCGACGCAACGCGAAGAACCUUACCAGGUCUUGACAUUGAUGGACAGAACUAGAGAUAGUUCCUCUUCUUCGGAAGCCAGAAAACAGGUGGUGCCCGGUUGUCGUCAGCUCGUGUCGUGAGAUGUUGGGUUAAGUCCCGCAACGAGCGCACCCCCUAUCUUAUGUUGCCAGCACUUCGGGUGGGAACUCAUGAGAGACUGCCGCAGACAAUGCGGAGGAAGGCGGGGAUGACGUCAAAUCAUCAUGCCCCUUAUGACCUGGGCUACACACGUACUACAAUGGGAGUUAAUAGACGGAAGCGAGAUCGCGAGAUGGAGCAAACCCGAGAAACACUCUCUCAGUUCGGAUCGUAGGCUGCAACUCGCCUACGUGAAGUCGGAAUCGCUAGUAAUCGCAGGUCAGCAUACUGCGGUGAAUACGUUCCCGGGCCUUGUACACACCGCCCGUCACACCACGAAAGUCGGAAGUGCCCAAAGCCGGUGGGGUAACCUUCGGGAGCCAGCCGUCUAAG